GUUAAAUUUUGCAUUCACAGACUUCAGCUCUGUGGCUCCUGUUGUGUUUGAGCUCUCAGCUAUGACUGUUUCCUUUGAUUUGUAUUCUGAAAUCUUUUUUAUCCUAAUGCAGGUUAGAAGAUGUAACAGAUAAGCAUAAUUAAAGAAACAGAAGACUUACAUGUUUUGACAAGGAGUGGCAGAAGUACUGAACCCUUCUUCUCCAACAGCAAUGGGAGGCCAAAAGCUCAGAAAGACUUGAGGAGAUGGCACGGUGACAGAGCCUGGGAUCACCAUGAGAGGCAGCACUACCUGGCAGCACCAAAACAUACUGCUUUGCUCUUGCUUCCUCUAAAGCAAUUUUCAUCUGCAGUAGAAGAGCUGGAAAGAUGAAGGGGGGAAAAAAAUAAUACUAAAAUCAGGACACUUGCAUAUCAGCUAAGCUUUGUUUGUUCUUUCUCAUUUGCAUUCUUUCCCCCAGUGGUUCAACACUGAUAUUUAGUUGCCUGUUCCCUUAGGGAUGAGGCUCCCAAAGGCUUCUCACCUGCCAGUGUCACCUUACAGUCCCAACCUGUACCUCUACUAAUCUGAGAUGCUUUUAAAAUGUUUUUGAAGGGAUCAGCAGCCACUCAAGCCACACCUUUCAUAUACACUGUAUUCUUAUCCAUUCACAUUUCAGCUUCAUCCUUGGAGAGAAGAAAUAUUUGUUAGCUCAAAAACUAUACAUACACAUAUACGUAUGCAAGCAGUCAA
rnacentral:lncRNA from 1 species